rnacentral:rRNA from 1 species
GACGAACGCUGGCGGCGUGCUUAAUACAUGCAAGUCGAACGGAAAGGCCCUGCUCUUGUUGGUCGCUCGAGUGGCGAACGGGUGAGUAACACGCGAGUAACCUGCCCCUGACUUUGGGAUAACUUCACGAAACUCGGGCUCAUAUCCGAUAUGAGCUCCUGCUGCAUGGUGGGGGUUGGUAAGUUUCGGCGGUUGGGGAUGGACUCGCGGCUUAUCAGCUUGUUAGUGGGGUAGUGGCUUACCAAGGCUGUGACGGGUAGCCGGCCUGAGAGGGUUACCGGCGUCAAUGGGACUGAGAGACGGAGCAGACGCCUACGGGACGCAGCGGGGGGGAGUAUGGCACAAUGAGCGGGAGCCAGAGACAGAGGCGCCGCGUGCGGGAUGACGGGCUUCGGGUGGAAAACAGAUUUGGCAUGUGACAAAGAGUGAGUGACGGUAAUGGGUAAAGAAGCAACGGCUAACUACGUG